rnacentral:misc_RNA from 1 species
GAAAUGCGAUAAGUAAUGUGAAUUGCAGAAUUCAGUGAAUCAUCGAAUCUUUGAACGCACAUUGCGCCCGCCAGUAUUCUGGCGGGCAUGCCUGUCCGAGCGUCAUUUCAACCAUCAAGCCCCCGGGCUUGUGUUGGGGACCUGCGGCUGCCCGCAGGCCCUGAAAACCAGUGGCGGGCUCGCUGUCACACCGAGCGUAGUAGCAAUCACCUCGCUCAAGGCGUGCUGCGGGUUCCGGCCGAUAAACAGCCUUACAAAACCCAAGGUUGACCUCGGAUCAGGUAGGAAGACCCGCUGAACUUAAGC